rnacentral:rRNA from 1 species
AUUGAACGCUGGCGGCAUGCCUUACACAUGCAAGUCGAACGGCAGCACGGGGCAACCUGGUGGCGAGUGGCGAACGGGUGAGUAAUGCAUCGGAACGUACCUUUCAGUGGGGGAUAACGUAGCGAAAGUUACGCUAAUACCGCAUAUUCUGUGAGCAGGAAAGCAGGGGAUCGCAAGACCUUGCGCUGAUUGAGCGGCCGAUGUCGGAUUAGCUAGUUGGGGAGGUAAAGGCUCACCAAGGCGACGAUCUGUAGCGGGUCUGAGAGGAUGAUCCGCCACACUGGAACUGAGACACGGUCCAGACUCCUACGGGAGGCAGCAGUGGGGAAUUUUGGACAAUGGGGGCAACCCUGAUCCAGCCAUGCCGCGUGAGUGAAGAAGGCCUUCGGGUUGUAAAGCUCUUUCGGCCGGGAAGAAAUCGCACGGGCUAAUACCCUGUGUGGAUGACGGUACCGGAUUAAGAAGCACCGGCUAACUACGUGCCAGCCGCCGCUGUAAGAC